GGUGAGGUGUCGGAGUGGUCUAACGUACGACUUUGCUAAAGUCGCGAGGGGCUUUAAACCCCCUCCGAGGGUUCGAAUCCCUCCCUCACCG
rnacentral:tRNA from 1 species